GACGAACGCUGGCGGCGUGCUUAACACAUGCAAGUCGAACGGAAAGGCCCCUUUUUUGUGGGGGGCUGGAGUGGCGAACGGAUGAGGUACACGAGAGUAACCUGCCCUUCACCCUGGGAUAACUUCAGGAAACUAGGGCUAAUACCGGAUAGGAGCUCCUGCGUCAUUGGCGGGGUGGGAAAGUUUCGGCUGUUGGAGAUGGAGGCGCGGCUCGUCAGGCUGUUCGUGGGGUAGGGGCUGACCAAGGCUUUGAAGGGUAGCCGGCCUGACGGGGUGACCGGCAACGUUGGGACUGAGAUGGGAGCCAGCCUCGUACGAGAGGCAACAGUGGGGGAUAUUGCGCAACGGGCAGAAGGCUGAUGCAGCAGCGCCGCUUGCGGGAUGACGCCCUUCGGGUUGUAAACCGCUUUCGCCUGUGACGAAGCGUGAGUGACGGUAAUGGGUAAAGAAGCACCGGCUAACUACGUG
rnacentral:rRNA from 1 species